UACCAGUCAAAACGCUCUCUUUCUCCGUCAAGCUAGUAGAAAUUUAACGGUAUUUUUUCUCACUUGCGAUUUACGCAAUUCCCCAAAAAGCCAAAAGAGCAA